UACGGAGGGUGCAAGCGUUAAUCGGAAUUACUAGGCGUAAAGCGCACGUAGGUGGUUUGCUAAGUCAGCUGUGAAAUCCCCGGGCUCAACCUGGGCACUGCAGUUGAAACUGGCAAGCUAGAGUAGGGUAGAGGGGUGUGGAAUUCCAGGUGUAGCGGUGAAAUGCGUAGAUAUCUGGAGGAACAUCAGUGGCGAAGGCGACACCCUGGACUCAUACUGACACUGAGGUGCGAAAGCGUGGGGAGCAAACAGG
rnacentral:rRNA from 1 species